GUGCUUUCAGAAUGCUGCUUGAUUUAAUGCCCACAUCAGGGAUGCAGUUCAGUUUCCAGAAUAAAUGGUUCUUUUUUAGCCAAGAAAUAUAUCUAUUGGUUCUUGCAGAGUUCCCCCACCCCCAACCCCGUGAUUCCACUUAAGCUAAAGUCCUUGAGAAUUAGAGAUGGAUGCAGCUCCUUGGACUCGUGGAGGUGGAUGGAACCUCAGAUCAUGCGCUCUGCCACUUUACAGAUGAGUGAUUGGCCCAGGGAGGCCAUGGGACCUGCCCGUGGAAGCAGCUGGUCAGUUUAUUCCUGGAUUUGAUAUCUUUUGCCAAGUGGAAUGGUUGAGGUGAUGUCAGAGGGAGGCUGUCAGCCUGAUGGGAGUGGAUGGAAGCAUGAACCGUGAAAAGAAGCAGCCGAAGGAGCCUGGUCUUCCAGGAAAGCACAGUUUCAGAUGCUCCUGACUUCUGAGGAUGAAGAGUGGGACCAGUCACCUGGGGAGAUCCAAGGAAGCCACGUGAGAUAGUGGGAGAGAAGCAUGAAUCAGGUUCCUGAUUCACAAACUGUCUACUUUCCCCACCAAUGUCCUCAACCAUCCUAUCUUUAUAUAUAUAAGUGGUGGCAGGACCCCUGCAGUUCCUAUCCACUUUCCUGUUGGGAGCGCCUCCACUUGAGAUGCGACGGGAACGCUGGGAAUCCUUUUCCCGACGAAGCAGGGAAAGGAACACUCAUCUCGAUCUACCAGGCGGAAACAGGGCUCAUCGUGAUGUUGGCGGGACCCUCGGUGUUCCUCUCGAGGGAGACGGGAGCAGUUAAGCAAAGAAAAGAACUUGAGACAUGGAGUGAUAAGGAAGAAAGAAGAGAAAAAAUAUUCAGGACGCAUAACGUGUGGCACGGCCCAAGGGUAGAUGUCAUUGUCCUA
ensembl:lncRNA